rnacentral:rRNA from 1 species
CAGCAGCCACGGUAACACGUAGGGGGCAAGCGUUAUCCGGAUUUACUGGGUGUAAAGGGAGCGUAGACGGAAUGGCAAGUCUGAAGUGAAAUGCCCGGGCUCAACCCGGGAACUGCUUUGGAAACUGUCGAUCUGGAGUGUUGGAGAGGUAAGUGGAAUUCCUGGUGUAGCGGUGAAAUGCGUAGAGAUCAGGAAGAACACCGGAGGCGAAGGCGGCUUACUGGACAAAGACUGACGUUGAGGCUCGAAAGCGUGGGAAGCAAACAGGAUUAGAUACCCCCGUAGUCCCUGUCUCUUAUAC